rnacentral:rRNA from 1 species
GAUGAAACGCUGGCGGUAUGCCUAACACAUGCAAGUCGUACGAGAGUUUUUAACUCUAGUGGCGGACGGGUGAGUAACACGUGAGAAUUUGCCUUUAGGAGGGGGACAACAAUUGGAAACGAAUGCUAAUACCCCAUAUGCUUUCGAGUGAAAUGGAUUUUAUCCGCCUAGAGAGAAGCUCGCGGCCUAUCAGCUAGUUGGUGAGGUAACGGCUCACCAAGGCGACGACGGGUAGCCGGCCUGAGAGGGUGACCGGCCACACUGGGACUGAGACACGGCCCAGACUCCUACGGGAGGCAGCAGUGGGGAAUAUUGCACAAUGGGCGCAAGCCUGAUGCAGCAACGCCGCAUGAGGGAUGACGGCCUUCGGGUUGUAAACCUCUUUUAGUAGGGAAGAAGCGAAAGUGACGGUACCUGCAGAAAAGCACCGGCUAACUACGUG